rnacentral:lncRNA from 1 species
GGAACAGAAAUUAAAUUCCAUCUAAAAGACGGUACAACAAAAGUCUCAUCCAAAACUAAAUAAAAACCGGUCUUAAACAACAGCCUAAAUUUUCCAAUAGGCUCAACUGGCACCUUCUUGCCGUCACCCACAUAGAUGUAUCUUUCACCAUCAUUUGGUUUUCGGCAGUUCAGGCAACCCUGCAUAGAUAUACUUAUGUGANN